CUCUGGGAGAGUCAAACAAACUUGAUUAGCAGCUUAUUUUAUAAGUUGUGAAAGAGGACUCGAAGAAAGGAGAA
rnacentral:ncRNA from 1 species